UUUAUUAAAAAAUGGUCCGGCAGUUUGGUUUUGGUGGCCUCAGGUGGCGGCUGGAAGUCCUUGGACUCGGGCGGCAUCUUCGGCUUGCCGGACGGCCCAGAGCUGGUCUCCCAGCUCCGAACUUUUCAGGGCCACCUCCAAGCGGCAGCGACGCCGACGUAGAAGGUCCCCGGCGGCCCCCGCAGCCGGGGCGACGGCUGGAAUGAGCGAGCUCGAGGCUUCCUGUAAUCUGGUAACGCCUGCCGUUAUGGGCGCGCCGCGAACGGCGGCGGUUUCGGUACCGUUGUUGCCGGCACAUUCCCAGAGCAUGUGUCGCAGCGUUGCUCUGUGUCCGCACGCUUUACACGCAUCAGUCGGGUAUAAGCUCGGGUUACAGUGGCGUAAGAUGGCCGGGCUAGGGUAAAUGUGUGUUUGCAGUAAGCGUAACUUUACGGCCUCUUUCCUGUUUAAUUUAACCUGCGGUGGCGGGAAUUUGCGUCUUUCGAGUCUGUAGUGUUGGGUGAGGUCUCUGAACGUCUUCAGGUGAUCGCCCCACAGCCAUUGUGAUUGUUGUUGCUGCUGCAU
rnacentral:lncRNA from 1 species